UACAGAGACUGCAAGCGUUGUUCGGAUUCAUUGGGCGUAAAGGGUGCGCAGGCGGACCGUUAAGUCGGAUGUGAAAUCUCACAGCCUAACUGUGAUAGGUCAUUCGAAACUGGCGGACUAGAGGAUUGGAGAGGAGACUGGAAUAGUCGGUGUAGCGGUGAAAUGCGUAGAUAUCAAGUGGAACACCAGUGGCGAAGGCGAGUCUCUGGACAAUUCCUGACGCUGAGGCACGAAAGCCAGGGGAGCAAACGGG
rnacentral:rRNA from 1 species